GGAAACUUGGGAACUACCGUUGGAUCGAAAAAUGGACGUCUAAGAUUCGUCCACGUCACCAUGAGUAAAAAUUUUGCUCCAAGUAAACUUUUUAGUCAUAAGUAAACUUACGAGUAAAAUUUUUACUCGUGAUGACGUGGACAAAUCUUAGACGUCUAUUUUUCGAUCCAACGUUAGUUUCCAGGUUUCC
rnacentral:pre_miRNA from 1 species